rnacentral:rRNA from 1 species
AGUGAAUAGAUACCCGGGUAGUCCACGCCGUAAACGAUGCAUACUAGGAAUUUGGAGAAUCGACCCUCUGAGUUUCGAAAGCUAAACGCGUUAAGUAUGCCGCCUGGGUAGUACGGCCGCAAAGCUAAAACUCAAAGGAAUUGACGGGGACCCGCACAAGCGGUGGAACAUGUGGUUUAAUUCGACACUAAGCGAAGAACCUCACCAGGACUUGACAUCUAGAGAACCCCGACGAAAGUCGGGGUGCCGCAAGGAGCUCUAAGACAGGUGCUGCACGGUCGUCGUCAGCUCGUGCUGUGAAGUGUCCCGUUAAGUCGGUUAACGAGCGCAACCCCUAUUGCAUGUUAAAUUUCUCAUGCGAGACUGCCGGUGUUAAAUCGGAGGAAGGCGGGGAUGACGUCAGAUCAGCGUGGCUCUUACGUUCUGGGCUACACACGUGUUACAAUGGGUAGAAACAAAGGGUUGCCAAGCUGCAAAGCGGAGCUAAUCUCAUCAAACCUACCCCAGUUCGGAUUGAGGGCUGCAAUUCGCCCUCAUGAAGUCGGAA